rnacentral:rRNA from 1 species
UACGUAGGGUGCGAGCGUUAAUCGGAAUUACUGGGCGUAAAGCGUGCGCAGGCGGUCUGUUAAGACCGAUGUGAAAUCCCCGGGCUUAACUUGGGAACUGCAUUGGUGACUGGCAGGCUUUGAGUGUGGCAGAGGGAGGUAGAAUUCCACGUGUAGCAGUGAAAUGCGUAGAGAUGUGGAGGAAUACCGAUGGCGAAGGCAGCCUCCUGGGCCAACACUGACGCUCAUGCACGAAAGCGUGGGGAGCAAACAGG